UGAAGCCCAGAACAGAAGAGGACGUCAUAACUCCACCUUACAUCUGAUUGUUGUGGCAGAGAACUCAACAAGGCUAAUAAUUAUCAUCACGUUGACUCUGGUGGUUGUGAUGCUGAUUCAUCUGCUUCUGUUUUGUCUGUGGAUGAGGAAGAAGAAUACUCUGAGCUCGACCUCUGAACCAAAUGAAACCAUAGAGACGUUAGAGUUGGAGUCUGAUCCUGUUUAUACCAACAUCUCAGCCUUGAAAUAAAACUGUAUGUGACUUGAGUGGAAAACAGUCACAGCAGAGGGACUCACCUGGAUGGAAACAAGGAG